AUUCCCUUUCUUUUCUUCAUCGUCUUUGAAAGGGGAAAUCGAGGCUGCUGCCCAAAUCUGAGUGCCCCUACGGCCCUGCCCUGCGGUCCAUCUACGGUGAACUCCCUCAUUUUCUAAAGAAAAAGAAAAAAAUCCUGUUAUCAUCUCAGUCUACCCCUAGUUCCCCACCAGCAUCCUUAUCCAUCCACAUGCGUCAUCUUCCCCGAUUAACAGCCGGUGGACAAAGAUGUCGCCGCUAGCCAUCACCGAAGUAAUUCCCCAGUCAUCCCGCUUCUCGAUUCAUUUCUUCCAAUCUCUCCUCGUCGAUUUACUGCUGCAGUUGGCCAUUUGGGUGGAGUGCGUGGACGCGUUUGUUCAUUCUAAGAGAUGUGGAUGCUCGACGACUUCGUCGAGUCCGGCAGAGCGGCCAUGGGGAGGAGCGGGGAAAACAUGAAAGCUGCACUGCUCAACCUCUUCAUGGUCGACGACUAGAUGGCCAUGGCUGAGGUGUUGUAUCUUGGCCCCAUGGAGGAGCCUGUGAGGGAAAUCACUGAAUCACAGACUGAUGGUGAUUGUUGGUUCUGGAACCUGAGAAUGGCGGCGCCGGACAAAGCUAGCGUUAUGCAACAGUAGAGGCCGUUGAUUUGCUAUCCGGUUCUGCUAUUAAGUUACUAAACCAAGGCCAGAAGUGCUUUGGCGUGACUUCUUCCAACGUUGAUUGGAGCAAUUGGGCGUGGCUUCGUCAGGCGUCAGACAUGCUUUGGCGUAAAUUUGUCGGACGUCAAGUGAAGCGGCUGGGCAUGGAUUUUUGUGGUAGCUCCGUUGACUUCAAUCUGUUCGAGUCAUGGUGAUUGGCGACUUCUAAUUGCUUGGUGUGUGAUUGUGCAGCCGACUGUACUUCUUUAGAUGGGUUCAGGUGGCCGAGACGUGUGGAAAUCUGAUCGUAACCUUGUACUAUUUUUCUUUUUUGAAAUUUUCAUCACGUGAGAUGGGUUUGCAUGUAUUCGUUCCUGUUUCGGAAUUUUCAUCA